rnacentral:lncRNA from 10 species
AAGAAAAAAAAAAGUAUGCUGAGAUUGCUAAGAUCUACGGCUAAGUGCCGAGCUGAAAUGGAAAAGGCAUUAAAGCCUAAUGAGGAGGUGACUAUCAUGAAGGUCUGGUGGUGAAGAUCUUGCAAGAAGGUGCCUUGUUUGAGAUCUUUCAAGGAAACACAGUACUCAAUAAAUGUGGUUCGGUGUACAGUUGAGCCUUGAGCAACAUGGAUUUGAACUGCAUGGGGCCACUUAAAUGUGCAUUUUCUUAUGACUCCGCUGCUCUUGAGACAGCAAGAUCAAGCCCCCUCCUCCUCAGCCAACUCAACGUGAAGACAAUGAAGAUCAAGAUCUUUAAGAUGAUCCACUUCCACUUAAUGAAUAAUAAAUAUAUUUUGUCGUUAUGAUUUUCCUAGUAUUUUCUUAUUCACUGAAUUUCCAACAGGAAUUAGAAACUCCACAUCUAACUUAGUUGCCUUGAGGAAGCAGCUAUGGCAACCAGAAAGUUCCCAGGAUCCUGUCUCCUAAAGCUGAAGCCUAAUCGACUGCAGGGGGCCUUUCUGUGGGAAGAUAACAGCAGCGCAGAGGCAAAGAAAAGGGAAGGCACGGCGGUGGCCCUUGUGGGGCGUUCUGGGAGAAGAGAUUAAUUCACCAAGUCCCUGCGCGGCACAGCAGGAUUACGGGGCUUUUACAAAACUGAAGACAAAAUGAAGAGCAGCAGCUUCUAGAAUAAGGCCAAGCACCAAAUUGAAGACUCGGUGGAGACUAUCACUUCAGAUGAUAGCAUGUCUCCAAGCAAGACAAAUGAAAGGGAAAAUGAAGCAAAGGGAGAGUGGGGAGCUACAAUAAAAACCGAGCUAUUCU